rnacentral:lncRNA from 1 species
GGUCCACCAGAUUAUUCUUUACAAUGGACAAUCCACACCCACAAAGCUAAGAGCCAGGUGCUUGGUGUUUUGAUUUUUGGUUUUUCUCUUUAAACCUUGAAGAGGGUUUCAAGGAAUCUCUCCUUAAAGGCAAAUAUCCUGCCCAACUGGGUGUUGAGGCCUUUGUAGGGGACUGACCCGGGUUAAUUUCUGGCUCUGGGUUCUGCCUUGGACAAAUCAGUUUCCUUCUCUAAGCCUCAGUUUCCUCCUGCAUGCAAUGGGCAGAGUAGAGGGCAAUAAAUGAGAAUCAUCUCAAGUAUUGACUAGCCCAGCACAGUGCCUAGAAUCUGUGUCUAAUACAUGAACUUUUAUUUUCCCUUUUUUUACUUGUUUGUUUGACUACAUGAAUAUAUUCAAAAAGUACAGAGUGAAAGUAAAGAGUGAAAAAUGGGUCUCUCUUCCUCCAUGUUCCUUUACCCACCCACUUCCCUUUCAGAGAUACAAUCAAGAUUACAGGUUUCAAAACAGUUUUGAAUUUAUAAGACUAUAACAAGAAUAAUUCAGAGAAUUCCAUACACCCUUUACCCAGAAUCACCUAUCUUCACUAUUUUGCCAUGUUUGUUUUAUUAUCCUUUCUUUCUUCAUGUGACUAUGUUUAUUAUUAUUUUUCUGAACUAUUACAGUUUUCAUACAUCACACUGCAUUUACCUCUUAAUAUUUCACUGUAUGUUUACUAAGAACAGGAUAUUAUUUGCUGUAACCACGGCACUGUUACCAAAUUCAGGAAAUUUACCUUGAUGCCCCAUUUACCUCAUAAUAUUUCAGCAUGUAUUUCCUAAGAACAAGAUAUUAUUUGCUAUAGGCUGGGCACAGUGGCUCACUCCUGUAAUCCCAGCACUUUGGGAGGCUGAGGUGGGUGGAUCACCUGGAGGUCAGGAGUUCAAGACCAGCCUGACCAACAUGGCAAAACCCAUCUCUACUAAAAAUACAAAACUAGCCGGGCGUGGUGGCGCACGCCUGUAACCCCAGCUACUUGGGAGGUUAAGGCAGGAGAAUCGCUUGAACCCAGGAGGUGGAGGUUGCAGUGAGCCGAGAUUGUACCACUGCACUCCAGCCUGGGCAACAGAGUAAGACUCUGCCUCAAAAAAA